GCUAGUUGUACGAGUUUAGACUCGUAGCAGAUAGCUCAGUAACACGUGGCCAAACUACCCUAUGGAUCCAGACAACCUCGGGAAACUGAGGCUAAUCUGGAAUACGACUCUCAUCCUGGAGUGGAGAGAGUCCGAAAUGCUCCGGCGCCAUAGGAUGUGGCUGCGGCCGAUUAGGUAGACGGUGGGGUAACGGCCCACCGUGCCAGUAAUCGGUACGGGUUGUGAGAGCAAGAGCCCGGAGACGGUAUCUGAGACAAGAUACCGGGCCCUACGGGGCGCAGCAGGCGCGAAACCUUUACACUGCACGCCAGUGCGAUAAGGGGACUCCAAGUGCGAGGGCAUAUAGUCCUCGCUUUUUGCGACCGUAAGGUGGUCGCGGAAUAAGUGCUGGGCAAGACCGGUGCCAGCCGCCGCGGUAAUACCGGCAGCACGAGUGAUGACCGCUGUUAUUGGGCCUAAAGCGUCCGUAGCUGGCCGCGCAAGUCUAUCGGGAAAUCUCUCCGCUUAACGGAGAGGCGUCCGGUGGAAACUGUGUGGCUUGGGACCGGAAGACCAGAGGGGUACGUCUGGGGUAGGAGUGAAAUCCCGUAAUCCUGGACGGACCACCGGUGGCGAAAGCGCCUCUGGAAGACGGAUCCGACGGUGAGGGACGAAAGCUCGGGUCACGAACCGGAUUAGAUACCCGGGUAGUCCGAGCUGUAAACGAUGUCUGCUAGGUGUGACACAGGCUACGAGCCUGUGUUGUGCCGUAGGGAAGCCGUGAAGCAGACCGCCUGGGAAGUACGUCCGCAAGGAUGAAACUUAAAGGAAUUGGCGGGGGAGCACUACAACCGGAGGAGCCUGCGGUUUAAUUGGAU
rnacentral:rRNA from 1 species